GACACACGCCCAUCCCCCCACAUCUCACGGUCUGACUGGAGUCGAGUUUCACAGAGCAACGCAACAGGAGGAUGACACAACAGUUAUAAGAGCAUUAACAGGUAAACACUGGAAAAUCCUUCCUUCAUCACCUUUAAAGCAUUUUUAAACUUUAAAAAUGUGUUGUUUGUCGUGACUCUUCAUUUUAAUACUGAUUCGGUUACGGUAAUUUGUGUAAAGUUGUAUACGACGUGACAACGCGACAUUGACACAGCACUAUUGCCUCAUUUUAAUAGACUCAUUUUAAUGAGCUGGUUAAUGUUCAUUAAGUACACCACAGUUCUGUAAGUGGAGAAAUAAUUCAUAUUUGUGUGUUUUUCUCUCAGUAAGGACUAACAUUAACUGACUGUCUGUCCUCAACCAAAGUCAUUCAAGACCUGCAGUUUAGCACAAACGUUUCCCGCGCAAGUUUGAAUCUCUCUCAGUCAGGGGAGAUUGACUGACUGACUGACUGUCUACACGCCACCAAACAGUAAUUUAUACAGAAACCUUUUAAAGUAAGGACUAACAUUAACUGAAUGUCUGUCUGUCUGUCCGUCCGUCCGUCCGUCCUCAAGUCAUUCAAGACCUGUUAAAGUCAUUCAAGACCUGUUAAAGUAAGGACUAACGUUAACUGACUGUCUGUCUGUCUGUCUGUCGGUUCUCAACCAAAGUCAUUAAAGACCUGUUAAAGUAAGGACUAACGUUAACUGACUGUCUGUCUGUCUGUCUGUCGGUUCUCAACCAAAGUCAUUAAAGACCUGUUAAAGGACUAACGUAAACUGACUGACUGUCUGUCUGUCUUUUCUCAACCAAAGUCAUUAAAGACCUGUUAAAGUAAGGACUAACGUUAACUGACUGUCUGUCUGUCUGUCUGUCUGCUCUCAACCAAACAGUCAUUCAAGACCUUUCAAAGUUUAGCACAAAAGUUUCCAGCACAAGUUUGGAUCUUUACCAUUGAGGGUGGCUGACUGUUCUCGACCAACCAUCAUUCACACGCAAAAACUUUAAAGAUAAGUAUGAACGUGCCCAGAGCAGUUUUCGAUCUUUACCAUUAAGGAGGCUGACUGACUAUCCUCUACCACCCGUCAUUAACACAACAAAAACUAAAGAAAUGUUACUCCAUAUGGACCUAUUCAUUUACUCAUUAUGCUGUGAGUACACCACAGUUUUAUCAGUGAAAAAAUUUAUAUUUGUGUGUUUUCUCACUGCUUGGCAAGGACAGAUGUGGCCCUGUUAAAAAUGUUUAAAUGUUGUUUGGUUAAGGAACAGCACACUGAUUUUGUUUUAAAAUAUUCCUGUUUGGACAGUCUGUUAAAGUCAAAGGAAUACUUGAUAUAUUUCUAAGUAAAGUGUAAAUGAAAAAAUUAGUUUUUAAUGUUGUGACUGAACACAAUGUUGUGAAUGAUUUGGACUGAACAGCACACUUCUGUUUUAUAUCUGAACCUUUUGUAAAAUAAAUGAUUGUUCAUUAAACUCACUGUGUAUUUUAUCUUUUCUGUUAUCAUUUUUUUAUACUAAUGUUUAAAAUUUACCUUUACUCUAAACAAUUGGCUAAACCAACACAAAUACACUGAGUCAUAUGCACUUAUAAUUUAAAGUUUACAAUAUUUAGAUUGAGAUAUAUGUAUAAGUUUUAAAACCAUGAGUGUACCCUGUCAAAGCCAAUUUUG